GCCAGCAUGGCCUGGGCACGGGAACGGGGGGCAAAGCGGGCGGGAUCCUUCUGCAGCUGCCUGGUGGUUUCUGGUUUCUGUGCCCAGAGUGCCAGGAUGUUCUGAAGAGGUGCUUGUCCAUGCAGCCCUUGGCCAGGCCGUCCUUGGAAGAGCUCUUCCGUGACCCUUGGCUGCAGGGUGUUCAUGUGCCCUAGAGGAUGGCAGAGAGCCACGGGCACAGUGUGAUCCAGGGGCCUGGCAGGUAACAGCCCCACCCAUCUCUUGGCAAUCAGUGGCAAAGCAAAGCAGACUCUUUUGUCCUGCCUGUAGCUCUGAGCAGGGAGCAUCAGAAGGGAACACGCAGCUCUUGGGCUGCAGCUGAGCUGGAGGCCUGCUCUGGCAAGCACUGGUGGCCACCAUCCCCCCUGGUUUUGCUUGUCUGGUUCACUGAUGGCUGGGGCCCUGGGCAGAACCCUGAGAGCCUGGUGUGGCCCCAGGGAAGGAGAAGGAGCCCCUGGAGAAGCUGUAGCAGGUGGGGCUGCUGCUGCUGGAGACACCAAGGAUGAGCUCAAGGAUGACAACCUCUUCCUGGAGCUGGCCAGCGGCAGCUGAAGAUGAUGGCCUUUGAUUGUGGCACCUUCUCCAAAGACACGCUCCACGGCCAGUGUGCAGCCGGGCUCUGCCGAUGCUGAGGCUGCUCCGGGCUCUGCCAGGGCUCUGCUGGGGCUCAGCCCCGGGCACGGCUGGGCCCGCUCUCCCCUCACAGGGCUCUGACAGCUUUGCAUCAGAUGAGCCCCUUGCGAGCACAGCGACGGAGCUUUCUGCUUUUGCAGCCUCCCCUCUCCGUGUGCCAGAAGGAAUUGGAUGAACUGUAUUCUUCUCUCUGAGUCGUCUCGUUCAGCAUGAGCAGCUCAGCACCAGGAGCUGAAGGAGCUGAAGCCUUAGGCCACAAGAGCUGAGCAAGAGGAGACUUUUAGACCAAAAUAAUGCUGCUACCAUGGGCCUGGCUGAAUGCAGCAGACAGAAUCCUGGAAUUACAGAAUCCUUCCUGUUGGAAAAGACCUCUGAGCUCAUCAAGUCCAACUGUUAACCCAGCACUGUCAAGCCCAGCACUAAACCACGUCCCUGAAGUGCCAAGGC